rnacentral:rRNA from 1 species
AUUCCAGCUCCAAUAGCGUAUAUUAAAGUUGUUGCAGUUAAAAAGCUCGUAGUUGGAUUUCUGUCUCUUUUGGGAUGCGGUCCGCCCUUCAUGGGUGAGCACUGUUAUCCUGGGGACAUCCUCUCAAAGGCGUUAUGGUGCACUUAGUUGUGUGCUUAAUGAAUUUGGGACCUUUACUUUGAAAAAAUUAGAGUGUUCAAAGCAGGCUUAUUGCUUGAAUAUAUUAGCAGGGAAUAAUGGAAUAGGACUUUGGUUCUAUUUUGUUGGUUUCUAGGACUGAAGUAAUGAUUAAUAGGGACAGUUGGGGGCAUUAGUAUUUAAUUGUCAGAGGUGAAACUCUUGGAUUUAUGAAAGACUAACUACUGCGAAAGCAUUUGCCAAGGAUGUUUUCAUCG